CAUCAUUUCUCCCAACUUUUCAAGGAGAAGGGAAGCUACAAUCAUCUUAUCAAGUGUGCAUCAAUGAAACGUGCAGCAGCUUCUGUUCCUGAAGCCUGAAUACCUUGUCAACAAUCUAAUAUCUAUGUGUGUGUGGCUUUACUAUUUUUCGGUGUGCUUUCCUUCGGAUCCGACUUGCAUUAUGAGGAAUUGGCAAAACUUUGUUCUGCCUCCUUUUUGGCAUUUGGUUCAAUUUAUUGGGCAUAUUGUUGUGUUUGAUUGAUGGAUGGGACACACAUUCCCACAAUUGUAAAAUGACCUGUGGAGGACUUUCUGCAAAUGUGGAAGUUACCAAUGCUGCUUCAUUUUCAGAAAGUCCUCCACAGGUCAUUUUACAA
rnacentral:misc_RNA from 1 species